rnacentral:rRNA from 1 species
UACGGAGGGUGCGAGCGUUGUCCGGAAUCAUUGGGCGUAAAGGGCGCGUAGGUGGCGGGACAAGCGUGCGGUGAAAGCUCGGGGCUCAACCCCGAGUCGGCCGUGCGAACUGUUCUGCUUGAGCACUGUAGAGGCAGGCGGAAUUCCGGGUGUAGCGGUGGAAUGCGUAGAGAUCCGGAAGAACACCGGUGGCGAAGGCGGCCUGCUGGGCAGUAGCUGACACUGAGGCGCGACAGCGUGGGGAGCAAACAGG